GCUGGCGUAGCUCAACUGGUAGAGCAGCUGAUUUGUAAUCAGCAGGUUGCGGGUUCAAGUCCCAUCGCCAGCU
rnacentral:tRNA from 2 species